GGGCUAGAGUGUGUCAGAGGGGAGGUGGGAAUUCCGCGUGUAGCAUUGAAAUGUGUAGAUAUGCGGAGGAACACCGAUGGGGAAGGGCAGCCUCCUGGGAUAACACUGACGUUCAUGCACGAAAAGCGUGGGGAGCAAACAGGAUUAGAUAUCCUGGUAGUUCACGCCCUAAACGAUGUCAACUAGCUGUUGGGGCCUUCGGGCCUUGGUAGCGCAGCUAACGCGUGAAGUUGACCGCCUGGGGAGUACGGUCGCAAGAUUAAAACUCAAAGGAAUUGACGGGGACCCGCACAAGCGGUGGAUGAUGUGGAUUAAUUCGAUGCAACGCGAAAAACCUUACCUACCCUUGACAUGUCUGGAAUGCCGAAGAGAUUUGGCAGUGCUCGCAAGAGAACCGGAACACAGGUGCUGCAUGGCUGUCGUCAGCUCGUGUCGUGAGAUGUUGGGUUAAGUCCCGCAACGAGCGCAACCCUUGUCAUUAGUUGCUACGAAAGGGCACUCUAAUGAGACUGCCGGUGACAAACCGGAGGAAGGUGGGGAUGACGUCAAGUCCUCAUGGCCCUUAUGGGUAGGGCUUCACACGUCAUACAAUGGUCGGGACAGAGGGUCGCCAACCCGCGAGGGGGAGCUAAUCCCAGAAACCCGAUCGUAGUCCGGAUCGCAGUCUGCAACUCGACUGCGUGAAGUCGGAAUCGCUAGUAAUCGCGGAUCAGCAUGUCGCGGUGAAUACGUUCCCGGGUCUUGUACACACCGCCCGUCACACCAUGGGAGUGGGUUUUACCAGAAGUAGUUAGCCUAACCGCAAGGAGGGCGAUACCCA
rnacentral:rRNA from 1 species